rnacentral:lncRNA from 1 species
CACCAAACCAGCUUUUCUAUAGCAUCGAGCAGAGGGUGGAAGAUGUUCUCCAGGCAGAGGUGCUGUUAUCUGUGAAUUGGCUGCUGCUAGAAAUAGAAAACUCAGCCAAGGACGAGCUACCAGAGCCUCCAGUGAGGAAAACAGCAGUGCAGGGGCAGCUGAGCCCACAGUGAUUAAGGGCAGGACAUGCCUUGCAAUCUGGGCUUUUUUUUUUCACUUCCUGUUUAUAGGUUGACUGCAUUUCCCCAGCGUUUGAACUUCUCCGUCACGCUGUUUCUCUGCUGUUGCUGACACUGACAUGCAGAGAGCUGGAGGAUCACGGGCACCAGGACAAGCAAGGCACAGAAGGGCAAGGCUACAGCAGAACAGGUGGACUCAAAAGCAAACCAAGGCUCACCACAUCCUAAUUGCAUUUGGGGGCACUGCUGAAAACCUCAACUUUGAGAUUUUCCUUAAGGAAUUCUCCUUGAUUCGUAUCUUCUUUUGUGAUCAAGGAGAAGUUUUCCUGCAAUUUGAAGAACCUGUAUACAUUUCAUGCCUUUUCUAA